UACGUAGGGUGCAAGCGUUAAUCGGAAUUACUGGGCGUAAAGCGUGCGCAGGCGGUUUUGUAAGUCAGAUGUGAAAUCCCCGAGCUUAACUUGGGAAUUGCGCUCGAAACUACGUGGCUCGAGUGUGGCAGAGGAAGGUGGAAUUCCACGUGUAGCGGUGAAAUGCGUAGAUAUGUGGAGGAACACCAGUGGCGAAGGCGACUCUCUGGGCUGUAACUGACGCUGAGGCGCGAAAGCGUGGGGAGCAAACAGG
rnacentral:rRNA from 1 species